rnacentral:miRNA from 1 species
AAUUACAGAGCUAUGCUGUUCU